rnacentral:rRNA from 1 species
GUGACAGCCGCCGCGGUAAUACGGGGGGGGCAAGCGUUGUUCGGAAUUACUGGGCGUAAAGGGCGCGUAGGCGGCCUGCUAAGUCGGAUGUGAAAUCCCCCGGCUCAACCGGGGAACUGCAUCCGAUACUGGCGGGCUUGAAUCCGGGAGAGGGAUGUGGAAUUCCAGGUGUAGCGGUGAAAUGCGUAGAUAUCUGGAGGAACACCGGUGGCGAAGGCGGCAUCCUGGACUGGUAUUGACGCUGAGGCGCGAAAGCCAGGGGAGCAAACGGCAUUAGAUACCCUCGUAGUCC